AGGAUGAGAGCCAGUUAGAAUAGCCAAGGAGACUGCCUACAAACCACACAAAGAUUUUGAUUGCAAUGCUGGAGAUCUUGAAAAGGCCAUAGGCAAGUCAUCCUUGGCUAUCAAAGACAGGGUCUUAUCU
rfam:Musa acuminata subsp. malaccensis Doubled-haploid Pahang (DH-Pahang) genomic chromosome, chr6